UACGGAGGGUGCGAGCGUUGUUCGGAAUCACUGGGCGUAAAGGGCGUGUAGGCGGUCUGUUAAGUCUGAUGUGAAAGCCCGGGGCUCACCCCCGGAAGUGCAUUGGAUACUGGCGGACUCGAGUCUCGGAGAGGAGGGUGGAAUUCCUGGUGUAGCGGUGAAAUGCGUAGAGAUGUGGAGGAACACCAGUGGCGAAGGCGACUCUUUGGCCUGUAACUGACGCUGAGGCGCGAAAGCGUGGGGAGCAAACAGG
rnacentral:rRNA from 1 species